GCUUAUAGUAUAUUCUAAUAGUUUCAUCAUCACCAUCACCAUCACCAUCACCAUCACGGUUUUGAGAAAGAUCUACUUGUCGAUGACGGGAAGAAUGAUCACGGGGAGGACGGGAGGAACGACCACUUGGAGGACGGAACGAACGAGCACUGGGACGGGCAGUCUCUAGCGAUGAUUGCUGAGACCAGGGAAUCGAAAAAGAUCCAUCUAGGAGAUUUUUGAUCUGCUUUUACAUGUCCUGGCACAGAGCGACCACGUCAAUAUACUGAGCAUCUCUAAGCUUUUCUCUACUCUUAGACGCUUCUAGCUCGGAUGUGAGCUUUGACACAGUCUCCUGCAUAGCGGAGAGGCUAUCCCCAUC
rnacentral:lncRNA from 1 species